rnacentral:rRNA from 1 species
AAUAGAUACCCGGGUAGUCCACGCCGUAAACGUUGGAUACUAGGUGUGGCGGUUAUACCAAUGACUGCCGUGCCGAAGCUAACGCAUUAAGUAUCCCGCCUGGGGAGUACGGCCGCAAGGCUAAAACUCAAAGGAAUUGACGGGUCCCCGCACAAGCGGCGGAGCAUGCGGCUUAAUUCGAUGCAACCCGAAGAACCUUACCUGGGUUUGACAUCACGGGAAAAGCUGUAGAAAUACAGUGUCCAUUAGGGCCCGUGACAGGUGGUGCAUGGCUGUCGUCAGCUCGCGUCGUGAGAUGUCGCGUUAAGUCGCUUAACGAGCGAAACCCUUGUCCUUAGUUGCCAGCGGGUCAUGCCGGGGACUCUAAGGAGACUGCCGGUGUUAAACCGGAGGAAGGUGGGGAUGACGUCAAGUCCUCAUGGCCUUUAUGACUAGGGCUGCACACGUCCUACAAUGGCGCGCACAAAGGGAAGCAAACUCGCGAGAGCCAGCAAAUCCCAAAAAACGCGCCUCAGUUCGGAUUGCGGGCUGCAACUCGCCCGC